ACCUUCGUGGUGUAGUGGUCAGCACACUAGGCGCGUAUUCGAGAGGUUCUUGGUUCGAGUCCCGGCGAGGGUG
rfam:Stegodyphus mimosarum contig95900, whole genome shotgun sequence.